CUACGGGACGCACCAGUGGGGAAUAUUGGACAAUGGGGGAAACCCUGAUCCAGCAAUGCCGCGUGUGUGAAGAAGGCCUGCGGGUUGUAAAGCACUUUCGGUUGGGAGGACUGCUUCUAGCACUAAUAUUGUUGGAAGUUGACGUUACCUUCAGAAGAAGCACCGGAUAACUCCGUGCCAGCAGCCGCGGUAAUACGGAGGGUGCAAGCGUUAAUCGGAAUUACUGGGCGUAAAGCGCGCGUAGGCGGCUAGAUCAGUCGGGUGUGAAAGCCCCGGGCUUAACCUGGGAACUGCAUCCGAUACUGUCUAGCUUGAGUACAGGAGAGGAGAGUGGAAUUCCACAUGUAGCGGUGAAAUGCGUAGAUAUGUGGAGGAACACCAAUGGCGAAGGCAGCUCUCUGGCCUGAUACUGACGCUGAGGUGCGAAAGCGUGGGGAUCAAACAGGAUUAGAUACCCUCGUAGUC
rnacentral:rRNA from 1 species